GAUGAACGCUAGCGACAGGCCUAACACAUGCAAGUCGAGGGGUAUGAAGGGGCUUGCUCCUUUAGAGACCGGCGCACGGGUGAGUAACGCGUAUGCAACCUGGCCGUAAGAGGGGGAUAGCCUCUCGAAAGAGAGAUUAACACCGCAUAAUACUAAGUUUAGGCAUCUUUACUUAGUUAAAUAUUUAUAGCUUACGGAUGGGCAUGCGUCUGAUUAGUUUGUUGGUAGGGUAACGGCCUACCAAGACUACGAUCAGUAGGGGUUCUGGGAGGAAGGUCUCCCCCACACUGGUACUGAGACACGGACCAGACUCCUACGGGAGGCAGCAGUGAGGAAUAUUGGUCAAUGGGCGAGAGUCUGAACCAGCCAAGUCGCGUGAAGGAAGACGGCCCUAUGGGUUGUAAACUUCUUUUGUAGGGGAAUAAAAAAGAUCAUGUAUGGUCUAUUGUAGGUACCCUACGAAUAAGGAUCGGCUAACUCCGUGCCAGCCGCCGCAGUAAAAC
rnacentral:rRNA from 1 species